AACUCCGAUCAAAUGGCUGAAAUUGUAAGAAGCCUGUUGGAAGGAACGAUUGUCCAAAGAUGAGGUAUUCUCCGGACACUGACUACCCCAUUUCCCAGGAUGCCAAACUGCCUAAAGAGGUUGUUUCAUGAGAAUUGGUCACUUACCUACCUGAAUUGGUCAGCAUUAUAAAUGAGCUGAAACCUGAUAUAAACACAAACAGAGACAACGAUUCAACUGCUGGUGAAUCCCAGACCCGUGGCCCAGAGACCAGCACAGACAUAUCCCAGGAGGACACACAGACUUUGAAGACUGUCACAGAUGAAGAUUCAAAUGCUGGUGUAUCCCAGACCCACGGCCCAGAGUCCACCGGAGACAUAUCCCAGGAGGACACACAGACCUUGAAGCCUGUCAUAGAUGAACACUCAACUACUGGUGUAUCCCAGACCUACAGCCCAGAGUCCACUGGAGACAUAUCCCAGGAGGACACACAGACCUUGAAGCCUGUCAUAGUUGAACAUUCAACUGCUGGUGUAUCCCAGACCCACAGCCCAGAGUCCACCGGAGACAUAUCCCAGGAAGACACACAGACUUUGAAGCCUGUCAUAGAUGAAGAUUCAAGUGCUGGUGUAUCCCAGACCCAUGGCCCAGAGUCCACCGGAGACAUAUCCCAGGAGGACACACAGACUUUCAAGCCUGUCAUAGAUGAACAUUCAACUGCUGGUGUAUCCCAGACUCAUGGCCCAGAGUCCACCAGAGACAUAUCCCAGGAGGACACACAGACUUUAAAGCCUGUCAUAGAUGAACAUUCAACUGCUGGCAUAUCCCAGACCCACAGCCCA
rnacentral:lncRNA from 1 species